rnacentral:rRNA from 1 species
GUGCCAGCCGCCGCGGUAAUACGGAGGGUGCAAGCGUUAAUCGGAAUUACUGGGCGUAAAGCGCACGCAGGCGGUCUGUCAAGUCGGAUGUGAAAUCCCCGGGCUCAACCUGGGAACUGCAUUCGAAACUGGCAGGCUAGAGUCUUGUAGAGGGGGGUAGAAUUCCAGGUGUAGCGGUGAAAUGCGUAGAGAUCUGGAGGAAUACCGGUGGCGAAGGCGGCCCCCUGGACAAAGACUGACGCUCAGGUGCGAAAGCGUGGGGAGCAAACAGGAUUAGAUACCCUGGUAGUCCACGCCGUAAACGAUGUCGAUUUGGAGGUUGUGCCCUUGAGGCGUGGCUUCCGGAGCUAACGCGUUAAAAUCGACCGCCUGGGGAGUACGGCCGCAAGGUUAAAACUCAAAAUGAAAUUGACGGGGGCCCGCACAAGCGGUGGAGCAUGUGGUUUAAUUCGAUGCAACGCGAAGAACCUUACCUGGUCUUGACAUCCACAGAACUUUCCAGAGAUGGAUUGGUGCCUUCGGGAACUGUGAGACAGGUG